GCUGAGGCAACACGCUUUCGCCUUUUGUGGUUUGUGUGAUUUUCCUGAACUUUUGUAACGGACUCCCUUCGACAGUGGAUUACAACAGUGACUUGUGAUCUGAUAUGAAAAGGCUUCUACAAUUUUGCUGCGACUACUUACGAAGCAAGCUGAGCAGCCAGAGGGAAACUCAUGGCACACUGAAUCAUUGUGGACUCUGGCAGAGCAAGUCAGGUUCUUGUAUAUAACCGGAACGACAUCCUAGUCAAGUACAUCGUCCAGCUGCACGCAGCCAUGCAAUGUAAAUGGACGAUCGCAGCCGUCGUGACCCUUUGCCUCGUCCCCAGCCUAGCGUCCCCCUGGCCUGCCCCAGGGCCCGCUGCUGCGCCUUCCCCAGGGCCCGCCGCCUUGGCUCUCCCUCGCCCCAGCCCCGUCGCGGAUCCCAGCCCUGCGCCUGAGCCCUUUCUAGGAUUAUUCGGUGGGCGUGGACGGGGUCGUGGGCGGGGUCGUGGGCGGGGUCGCGGGCGAGGUCGUGGCCGAGGACGCGGAGGCCUUGGCUUUGGCCUCGGGAGACUUUUCGGUUGAGGUUGACAGGAUUUCGGACGCGCCUUCGUGCGCGGACGCGUAGCUAGAGGUUGACAAAACAGCAUUGUAUUUCAUGUUAAUAAAUCCAAAGUUACGUUUCC